ensembl:lncRNA
AGGAAUUUAUACCUUUAUUGUGUGGGUUUGAAUAUUCAUAAUAGCAAUCAGAGAAUAAUCGGGGCCCAACACACACACAGGGUGGUUGGAGAGACUAUACCUGUGGCAAUACGAAAGCAUAGAAAUAAGUAGGUUGAUCUAUUUUUCUGCAUAACAUUUAUAACUAGUUACUGAUUAGAAUGGGGAAAAAGUUGAGAUACAGUCAAGGUUUUCUUUUCCUUAAUUUCAAUGAUUGCUUAUAGAGCAUGUGAAACUGAACUCACCCAUGGGAAAAUUUCUGCCUGAACAGCAUUAGUGCAAAGACUACAAGUUUGCACCAGCUUUGUAAAUAUUUGGACACUUGACUCAAUGCUUAACACACUUUGGAAAAUCUCCUGGUGUUAAGAGAGAAAGUAUUAGAUAUGAAAAUCUGUGAGAAUAAAUCACUUCUAAGCUUUGAUUUUUGUGACUACAGAGAAAGACUUUGACUCUGAUGUAACUGAGUGUCUAAAAGUAUUAAAAAAUCAAUAUCUCUUAUCUGCAAGAAUCCUUCUAAUGGCUUAAUGCUCUGUCUUCCAGGAGAUGAGUGUUAAUUGUGUCAAUUGCUCUUUGUGGCAGGAAAAGGACUUGUCUGUCAAAUGCUUUUCAAUCGCCAAGAAGUUUGAGGUACCUGGAGAAUGCUUCCUCCUGUCAACCCUCAUCCUGCUCUCAUUGCCUUUGUUAUCUGCACCAGUCCAUCUCUACACACCCCCAUGUACAUUUUUCUGAUGAACUUAUGUAUCCUGAAAAUUGGUUACACUAGUUCUGUCAUACCCAAUAUAUGGAGAGCCUUGAAAGUGAGAUCUGAGGAAUCUCUCAGGAGGGAUGUGCCACACAGACGUUUUUCUUCACACUUUUUGUAUAAUUGAGUGCUGCCUAUUGCCAGCCAUGGCCUUUGUCCACUGUAUGGCCCUGCUUCAUUCUGCAGCCCAAAUGAGUAGUGAGGUAUGUUCCCACAAGGCAAUUGUUUCAUGGGGAAUAGGUUGCCUUGUAGGGUUGGGAAAAAACUACUUGAGAUCCAAAUCUAACCACCCACAAGGAGUUGAAAAAUUAUUGGUCAUCUUCCAUACCACAGUGAUAUCCAUGCUGAACCCAUCAUCUUUGCUUAAAGUACGAAGAAGUCAAGACAGGACUGAAAAGAACUCUGGGUCUGAAGAAAGUUCUGAUAAUAAAUAGAUGACAGAUAUCCUCCUAAUGCUUAACUGCGAUAAGCGAAGCAAGAAACACUUUGUGGUAUCUGUGUCAAGUACAUAUAAUCUCAACCUAAAAGAGGAAAACCACUGGGCAAAUCCAAAUUCAGAGACAUUCUUGCAAGUUGUACAUAUGCUUGUUCACAUGUGCAACACAUGCAUGCCUACUGUCCAGGAGGUUGAAGAAGGUGUGAGGUUCCGUGAUGCUGAAAUUACAGCCACUUGUGAGCUGUCAACGGGUUCUCUGGAAGAACAGGUGAAGAAUGGAGUAUCCACAAAUGACAAUACCAAAUAUACUCCCUCCUGUUCUUAUGAUCCUAUUGAGGUUGAGGUUUUACUGGAACUCAAGCCAUUCUUUUCCCUUCUCAUCAUCCUGUAUCUAUUGUUUGGCUUGAAGAAAGUAUCAUUGUAAAACAUCCAAAAGCCUGAAGUCUCACCCUUGGAACACAGGAAG